rnacentral:tRNA from 1 species
GGACGGUUAGCUCAGCUGGUUAGAGCACUGCAUUCACAUUGCAGGGGUCACUGGUUCGAAUCCAGUACCGUCCACAA